AGGACGAACGCUGGCGGCGUGCUUAACACAUGCAAGUCGAGGGGGCGGAGCAAUCCGUCACCGGCGAACGGGUGCGUAACACGUGAGCGACCUGCCCAACUGCGGGGGAUAGCCGGCCCAACGGCCGGGUAAUACCGCAUACGACGUCUGGCGCGCAUGAGCCGGACGUGAAACCGAUUCAGGGCGGUUGGAGGGGCUCGCGGCCUAUCAGCUAGUUGGCGAGGUAACGGCUCACCAAGGCGAUGACGGGUAGC
rnacentral:rRNA from 1 species